rnacentral:rRNA from 1 species
CGAACGCUGGCGGCGUGCUUAACACAUGCACGUCGAACGGAAAGGCCCUGCUUGCAGGGUACUCGAGUGGCGAACGGGUGAGUAACACGUGGGUGAUCUGCCCUGCACUUCGGGAUAAGCCUGGGAAACUGGGUCUAAUACCGGAUAGGAGCCAUUUUUAGUGUGAUGGUUGGAAAGUUUUUUCGGUGUAGGAUGAGCUCGCGGCCUAUCAGCUUGUUGGUGGGGUAAUGGCCUACCAAGGCGGCGACGGGUAGCCGGCCUGAGAGGGUGGACGGCCACAUUGGGACUGAGAUACGGCCCAGACUCCUACGGGAGGCAGCAGUGGGGAAUAUUGCACAAUGGGCGCAAGCCUGAUGCAGCGACGCCGCGUGGGGGAUGACGGCCUUCGGGUUGUAAACUCCUUUCGCUAGGGACGAAGCUUUUUGUGACGGUACCUAGAUAAGAAGCACCGGCUAACUACGUG